UACGAAGGGUGCAAGCGUUACUCGGAAUUACUGGGCGUAAAGCGUGCGUAGGCGGUGAGUUAAGUCUGUCGUGAAAGCCCCGGGCUCAACCUGGGAACCGCGCUUGAGACUGGAGAACUAGAGUUCGGGAGAGGAUGGUGGAAUUCCCAGUGUAGAGGUGAAAUUCGUAGAUAUUGGGAAGAACACCGAUGGCGAAGGCAGCCAUCUGGACCGACACUGACGCUGAGGCGCGAAAGCGUGGGGAGCAAACAGG
rnacentral:rRNA from 1 species